rnacentral:rRNA from 1 species
GCGUGGGGGCGUGCUAUACAUGCAAGUCGAGCGCGGGAAGCGAGUGGAUCCCUUCGGGGUGAAGCUCGUGGAACGAGCGGCGGACGGGUGAGUAACACGUGGGCAACCUGCCUGUAAGAUCGGAAUAACUCCGGGAAACCGGGGCUAAUGCCGGGUAAUACUUUCUUUCGCAUGAAGGAAAGUUGAAAGAUGGCUUCUUGCUAUCACUUACAGAUGGGCCCGCGGCGCAUUAGCUAGUUGGUGAGGUAACGGCUCACCAAGGCGACGAUGCGUAGCCGACCUGAGAGGGUGAUCGGCCACACUGGGACUGAGACACGGCCCAGACUCCUACGGGAGGCAGCAGUAGGGAAUCUUCCGCAAUGGACGAAAGUCUGACGGAGCAACGCCGCGUGAACGAUGAAGGUCUUCGGAUCGUAAAGUUCUGUUGUUAGGGAAGAACAAGUACCGUGCGAAUAGAGCGGUACCUUGACGGUACCUAACGAGGAAGCCCCGGCUAACUACGUGCCAGCAGCCGCGGUAAUACGUAGGGGGCAAGCGUUGUCCGGAAUUAUUGGGCGUAAAGCGCGCGCAGGCGGUUCCUUAAGUCUGAUGUGAAAGCCCACGGCUCAACCGUGGAGGGUCAUUGGAAACUGGGGAACUUGAGGACAGAAGAGGAGAGUGGAAUUCCACGUGUAGCGGUGAAAUGCGUAGAUAUGUGGAGGAACACCAGUGGCGAAGGCGACUCUCUGGUCUGUUUCUGACGCUGAGGUGCGAAAGCGUGGGUAGCAAACAGGAUUAGAUACCCUGGUAGUCCACGCCGU